rnacentral:rRNA from 1 species
ACGCUCGACACCUACGGGAGUCAGCAGUGGGGAAUAUUGCACAAUGGGGGAAACCCUGAUGCAGCGACGCCGCGUGGAGGAAGAAGGUCUUCGGAUUGUAAACUCCUGUUGUUGGGGAAAAAGAGGAUGGUACCCAACAAGGAAGUGACGGCUAACUACGUGCCAACAGCCGCCGGUAAUCUGAGCGGGCGUGGCAAGGC